AUUGAACGCUGGCGGCAUGCUUUACACAUGCAAGUCGAACGGUAACAGGCCGCAAGGUGCUGACGAGUGGCGAACGGGUGAGUAAUGCAUCGGAACGUGCCCAGUCGUGGGGGAUAACGCCGCGCCAGCUGCGCUAAUACCGCAUACGAUCUCUGGAUGAAAGCGGGGGACCGAAAGGCCUCGCGCGAUUGUAGCGGCCGAUGUCAGAUUAGGUAGUUGGUGGGGGAACGGCCCACCAAGCCAACGAUCUGUAGCUGGUCUGAGAGGACGACCAGCAACACUGGGGCUGAGACAGGGGCGAGACUCCGACGGGAGGCAGCAGUGGGGAAUUUUGGAAAAGGGGCGCAAGGAGGAAGCAGCAAUGCCGCGGGCAGGAAGAAGGCGUUCGGGUUGGAAACUGCUUUUGUACGGAACGAAACGGUGCGGGUUAAUAGACGGGGCUAAUGACGGGACGGUAAGAAUAAGCACCGGCUAAGUACGGGCCAGCCGCCGCCGUAAUAG
rnacentral:rRNA from 1 species